rnacentral:rRNA from 1 species
GAUGAACGCUGGCGGCGUGCUUAACACAUGCAAGUCGAACGAAGCACUUUAUUUGAUUUCCUUCGGGACUGAUUAUUUUGUGACUGAGUGGCGGACGGGUGAGUAACGCGUGGGUAACCUGCCUUGUACAGGGGGAUAACAGUUGGAAACGGCUGCUAAUACCGCAUAAGCGCACAGCAUCGCAUGAUGCAGUGUGAAAAACUCCGGUGGUAUAAGAUGGACCCGCGUUGGAUUAGCUAGUUGGUGAGGUAACGGCCCACCAAGGCGACGAUCCAUAGCCGACCUGAGAGGGUGACCGGCCACAUUGGGACUGAGACACGGCCCAAACUCCUACGGGAGGCAGCAGUGGGGAAUAUUGCACAAUGGGCGAAAGCCUGAUGCAGCGACGCCGCGUGAGCGAGGAAGUAUUUCGGUAUGUAAAGCUCUAUCAGCAGGGAAGAUAAUGACGGUACCUGACUAAGAAGCACCGGCUAAAUACGUG